UCGCGGAUCAGCAUGCCGCGGUGAAUACGUUCCCGGGCCUUGUACACACCGCCCGUCACACCACGAGAGUCUGCAACACCCGAAGUCGGUGAGGCAACCUUUUAGGAGCCAGCCGCCGAAGGUGGGGCAGAUGAUUGGGGUGAAGUCGUAACAAGGUAUCCCUACCGGAAGGUGGGGAUGGAUCACCUCCUUU
rnacentral:rRNA from 1 species